UGGUUUUCUAGUGAUUCAGUGGAGAUAGGAGUCUCAUGGCUUUACUACCUGCCUGCACUGGCUUUGAACCAUGGCCCUCAGAUCUCGUCCUUCUGAAUUGCUAGGGUGACAGGCAUGAGCCAACAGUGCCUGCUUACCAAGAGUCUUUUCUGUCUUCUUCUUCUUCUAAUUCUUCGGUGCAGCCUUUUUUCUCCUCCUACUCCUUCUUUCUUCUUCUUUGGCCUCCUGCCCUGAAAGCUGGACUUUGGACUGCACAUUAGCUUUGGGGCUUAGCCCUGAUGGGCAGUCACGGCGAGGCCGGGCUACAGCUCUCUGGUCACUGUGAAUUAUCUGCGGUGUAGCAAUGGAAGCCAUGAGGAGCCCACACAGUCUUUGCCCAUCCUGGUGUGGGUGGACUGGAGCUGGGCAGGUGCGGCCAGCGGGCCUGGCCAGUGGAGAAGCAGUGCCACUGGGGUUUAUGUUUGUGGUUUUGGAGACAUGCUUUCAGGACUCUGGAGUCAGUGUCUGCCCCCUGGCAGGAGGAGCCCCUCCCUGUGGUGGCCGCCAGCUCCACCCCAUCUCCACGUGUGACACACGUGGCAUCGGCUUCAUCCCUCCCACUGUGCAGCCGGGGACCAGGCAGAUGCUCGUACUGGGCACGCGCUCCUGGUCUCCUCCGAGUCUCUUCCUCCAGCCUGGCUUCCUGCUGGCCAACUGGCUCCAACUGUGAUCCUGGGGCCUCAGCCUCCUGAGCAGUGGGGAUUGCAGUGUGGCCCUUGGUACCUGCUCUUCAUGGGUUUCUGAGCCAUUUCUUCGGUGUUGUGUUCAUCCUGGUGGGAAAAGCUGGUGUGGUGGGGCCUUCACUCCGCAGUGGUGGCCAGGUGCCUGCCGUCCCGUGCUCUGCUCCCUCCACAUCCUCUGUCCCUGCCUGGGGUCUCCUGAGAACACCUGGACCAGAGACACAGACCUCCCCAGCACCUCGCAUCAGCAGUCAGCGCCGGCCUGCUCAGGACACCCCGGGGCCUGGAUGUGGGGACAGGGAGAGCCCAGGACGCCCCAGGGCUGUUCUUUGCAGCUAGGAGGGGAGUUGCCAUCCUGUUUCCCAAGUUCGGGGGCCACAGACUGCUCUGGACACCCCAAGACACUGCCCCCCAGACCGUCCUGGACACCCCAAGAUGCUUCCCCCCCAGACUGCCCUGGACACCCCAAGAUGCUGUCCCCCAAACCGCCCUGGACACCCCAAAAUGCUGCCACCCACUCCCGUCCUGCACACAGAGCACCUGGACCCCUGCUGGCUUCAGGUGGCUGUGGACAUCUGGGCCUUUGUGGGGUGACAACUAGUGUUGGGGGGAGGGGCCCUUGCCUGACUGGGGCCUGGCUUGUUUCUGGAGACCCCCUCAGUGUCAAUGUGUUCAGUUCCCCUCUGGGAAAAGACCUCCCUGUUGAAGGUGCCUUGUCCCCAACCCAGGGCCCGGCCUCUCACCCCUAAACCUGCCAGUGCCUUGUCUGGGAGCCCUGGGCCCCAGACACCCGGGGGCCCAGCCGUGGGGACCCCCAAACCUGACUCUGGAAAGCAAUAAAACGUUGGGCGGGG